UAGGGAAUCUUCGGCAAUGGACGGAAGUCUGACCGAGCAACGCCGCGUGAGUGAAGAAGGUUUUCGGAUCGUAAAGCCCUGUUGUUAGAGAAGAACGUUGGUAGGAGUGGAAAAUCUACCAAGUGACGGUAACUAACCAGAAAGGGACGGCUAACUACGUGCCAGCAGCCGCGGUAAUACGUAGGUCCCGAUCGUUGUCCGGAUUUAUUGGGCGUAAAGCGAGCGCAGGCGGUUCUUUAAGUCUGAAGUUAAAGGCAGUGGCUUAACCAUUGUACGCUUUGGAAACUGGAGGACUUGAGUGCAGAAGGGGAGGGUGGAAUUCCAUGUGUAGCGGUGAAAUGCGUAGAUAUAUGGAGGAACACCGGUGGCGAAAGCGGCUCUCUGGUCUGUAACUGACGCUGAGGCUCGAAAGCGUGGGGAGCAAACAGG
rnacentral:rRNA from 1 species